UGGGGAAUAUUGCACAAUGGGCGCAAGCCUGAUGCAGCCAUGCCGCGUGUGUGAAGAAGGCCUUCGGGUUGUAAAGCACUUUCAGCGGGGAGGAAGGCGGUGAGGUUAAUAACCUCACCGAUUGACGUUACCCGCAGAAGAAGCACCGGCUAACUCCGUGCCAGCAGCCGCGGUAAUACGGAGGGUGCAAGCGUUAAUCGGAAUUACUGGGCGUAAAGCGCACGCAGGCGGUCUGUCAAGUCGGAUGUGAAAUCCCCGGGCUCAACCUGGGAACUGCAUUCGAAACUGGAAGGCUAGAGUCUUGUAGAGGGGGGUAGAAUUCCAGGUGUAGCGGUGAAAUGCGUAGAGAUCUGGAGGAAUACCGGUGGCGAAGGCGGCCCCCUGGACAAAGACUGACGCUCAGGUGCGAAAGCGUGGGGAGCAAACAGG
rnacentral:rRNA from 1 species